UACGAAGGGGACUAGCGUUGUUCGGAAUCACUGGGCGUAAAGCGCACGUAGGCGGAUUCGUAAGUCAGUGGUGAAAUCCCGGGGCUCAACCUCGGAACUGCCUUUGAUACUGCGGGUCUUGAGUCCGAUAGAGGUGGGUGGAAUUCCUAGUGUAGAGGUGAAAUUCGUAGAUAUUAGGAAGAACACCGGUGGCGAAGGCGGCCCACUGGAUCGGUACUGACGCUGAGGAGCGAAAGCGUGGGGAGCGAACAGG
rnacentral:rRNA from 1 species